rnacentral:sRNA from 18 species
GCAGUAUCUCGUUAGGCGAGGCUCCUAUACAAACACAGGUUACUGAUCUGACGACGUCCAGAGACGCCCAAGGUUAGGACAGGUUAUAUCGGAUUAAGGUAUAACCCAAAGUAACUUCUGAGAAAUCAGAUACGUUGUAUAGUGCUAAAACUUAGACACGGAGAUAGCCA